UACGUAGGGGGCGAGCGUUGUCCGGAAUUAUUGGGCGUAAAGAGCUUGUAGGCGGUUUGUCGCGUCUGCCGUGAAAUUUCGAGGCUCAACCUCGAACUUGCGGUGGGUACGGGCAGACUAGAGUGUGGUAGGGGAGACUGGAAUUCCUGGUGUAGCGGUGAAAUGCGCAGAUAUCAGGAGGAACACCGAUGGCGAAGGCAGGUCUCUGGGCCACUACUGACGCUGAGAAGCGAAAGCAUGGGGAGCGAACAGG
rnacentral:rRNA from 1 species